ensembl:lncRNA
CAGCGCUCGACUGUUCCACAAAAAACCCCGAGCAUAUUAGUUUGCUUUCACUUUAAGAACCAAGCACGGAUUUAAUAUACAGAUGCCUUCUCUUUCUGAACUGUUAACGUUAAGACAUAUGACUAAACGACUGUGUUUACUAGGAAAUUCGCCCAAACGCGCAUUUUGAUGUAAUUUUGUCUGUAUUUAUUCAUCCAUGCACAAAAAAGUGGAAGAGAGCCCAAUUUAGUAUUCGCGCGUGCGGCUGUCUGUGUGCACGCGCUUCAGAUGUGUGCGCUGAAAACUUGUCACACAGCGCUCGACUGUUCCACAAAAAACCCCGAGCAUCUUUUAUGCUUCACCUUGUGCCUUCGGGCAGGGGCAGUCCUUAUAUCGAGUCCUGAUACGAGAGUUUGAGCGAGAAUGCACGCGUUGGUGGUAAUGCAUAGACGGACAUUAUGUGAAAAUGUGGACAGUGCCAAAUAAGGUGCCUAUUUAUAUUACAGAUAUCGAUAUAUUACGUGUGGCAUCGAUGCAUCGUAUCGUCAGACAUCGUAUCGAUGUAUCGAUCCAUAUCGAUGAAUCAUUACACCCCUAUUUCCUUCUGUAUGUCGCGUGCUUCAAAGAAGCAAAUCAAGUAAAACUUGGAUAAAGAUAACGCAUGGUUUGGCCAGUACUGAUAUGCAGUUCAUUUGUUUUUAUGUAGAGACGUGCUGCUGACGCGACACGAACACUUCCGCUCAGUUACUAUGACAACAGCGGGCGUCCGGUUUCCAAACAACAGAAGGAGCGCGCUCGGUUCAGCGGAGCUCCGUUCCUCCGUGUUUCUCGUCGAAGCGCUGCUCGUAAAGCACUCAUGGAUCCCGCCUCUUCACCCGCUCUGAAAACAGACGCUCGUCUGAAGCUGAAAGUCGAACACAGAAAGAAAAACGUGUUUGUAACGCAGCUGGAGGAGCACAGAGAGCAGACCGAGGAGCACGUCCAGCACAUCCCGGUGAUAACAGAGUCCUCCAGCGGGCUCCUGGACACCGGGGUCCACACGCUGCAGACCACACUAGUCCUGAAGAAGCGCUCCGAGGUGGACGCAGUGGACACACGGCUGAUGGACACACGGCAGGAGGUUCAGAGGAGCAUGAAGAUCCUGCAGCAGAGACGAGCGCAGCUGCAGCAGAGACAGACGGAGACGAAACACAGGGCAGUAAGAUUUGAGAAGUUUGUGGAGGAGAACGAGGUGAAACGUCGCCGUGCGCUGAAGAAGUUCCAGACGGAGAGAGAGCAGAACCAAGUGAAAGAACAGGAGAAAGCUGAGCUCUUCAAACAACUCCAGGACUUACAAGCCAGGCGUCAGUAUUUACAGGAGCGAGUGAACAAAUACAAGAUAUUCGAGGAGUUUCUGAUGAAGACUCUCGAUUUACUUCCAGACAAGUAUGUGGGCUACGGGACGGACCUGGUGACGCCGAUCAUCAGACGCUACGAGACGCUGACCGUCAGCCGAGAGGACCUCCUGCAGCAGCUGUCCAGCCUGACGGACGAGAUGAAGUCCAGCCAGAACCACAUGGAGUCCCUCAGACAGCAGCACAGCACCUUUAAACUGAUGACCAACCAGGAGCUGUCCGAGCGCCAGACACAGCUGGAUCAACUGAAAGAGAAGAACAAACAGCUGGAAAUGAUGCUCCACAUGCACCUGGGCCAGUCCAGAGACCAGGUGGAGGAGGUCGGGAACAUUUUGAUCGCGGUGAAGAACCUGUCGGAGCAGUGUUACCUGAGUCACUACGGAGCUCUGGACCUCAUGGACACCUCCUCCAUGAUGGACAUGAUAAAGGAAUUCAUCGUAGAGAAAGCCGACAUGGAGAGGAGAGCCACGAGACUCGUAGCCAGCAGCGGCGCCACUGUGAAGAGAACGACCCCGAAGAAGACCCCCAGCAGAAGCGGAGCGCUGACCGCACCGAAGACCCUGCCGUAGACCAGUCCAGCUCACUACAUCUGCUCGUGUAGCGUUCAUGAAGAAACAGCUUUAUAGAGACGAUCAAACACUUCUGUUCAAAUGUUUUUAUUCUUCAGCUUGAAAAUAACUGCUUUAUCAGUAAUUCUGUGAAAUCAUUAAAACAUUAUUUAACAAGGACAGUGUGACAUUUCAGUUCAACCUGAAGCUCAUUUUUACAAGAUUUUCAACUUUGACCAUCGGCAGAAGAGAAUCAAACAACACGAGCGUGAGUAAAUGCUUCGGGUGACAGAAGAAAACCAGACAGAUUUAACACUAGAAGAGUCAUUAAAAUGUAGAAAAAUUGAGGGAAAAUAAAUGCACAUAAAUUUUGGAUUCCA